UCGGGAAUUUUGGGCAAUGGGCGAAAGCCUGACCCAGCAACGCCGCGUGCAGGAUGACGGUCCUAUGGAUUGUAAACUGCUUUUGUACAGGAAGAAACAGUUCUACGUGUAGAACCUUGACGGUACUGUAAGAAUAAGGAUCGGCUAACUCCGUGCCAGCAGCCGCGGUAAUACGGAGGAUCCAAGCGUUAUCCGGAAUCAUUGGGUUUAAAGGGUCCGUAGGCGGUUAGAUAAGUCAGUGGUGAAAGCCCAUCGCUCAACGGUGGAACGGCCAUUGAUACUGUCUGACUUGAAUUAUUAGGAAGUAACUAGAAUAUGUAGUGUAGCGGUGAAAUGCUUAGAGAUUACAUGGAAUACCAAUUGCGAAGGCAGGUUACUACUAAUGGAUUGACGCUGAUGGACGAAAGCGUGGGUAGCGAACAGGAUUAGAUACCCAAGUAGUCCCUGAGCGGGCUGGCAAGGCGCAU
rnacentral:rRNA from 1 species